AAAACGGAAAAAAAAAAACACAACUGGACGGAGCUGCUUUGCUUCUGUUAUCAGCCAUAACUGAUAGGAAUGAGGCAGGACAAAACCACAAGAAAAAAAGAAGAAAAGCCAGGAAACUUACCCGCUAGCAAGUUUCUUUUCAUGCAUCUGGAAAAU